rnacentral:rRNA from 1 species
UACGUAGGGGGCUAGCGUUGUCCGGAAUCAUUGGGCGUAAAGAGCGCGUAGGCGGCCAGAUAAGUCCGGUGUGAAAGUCACAGGCUCAACCUGUGAAUGCCGCUGGAAACUGUCUGGCUAGAGUCCGGGAGGGGCGAGUGGAAUUCCUGGUGUAGCGGUGAAAUGCGCAGAUAUCAGGAGGAACACCAAUGGCGAAGGCAGUCCCCUGGGCCUGUACUGACGCUCAUGCACGAAAGCGUGGGGAGCAAACAGG